rnacentral:rRNA from 1 species
GAGUUUGAGCCUGGCUCAGGACGAACGCUGGCGGCGUGCUUAACACAUGCAAGUCGAACGAUGAAGCGGUGCUUGCACCGUGGAUUAGUGGCGAACGGGUGAGUAAUACGUGAGUGACCUACCUUUGACUCUGGGAUAAGCCUGGGAAACUGGGUCUAAUACCGGAUACGACCAAUCUCUGCAUGGGGUGUUGGUGGAAAGCGUUAUGGAGUGGUUUAGAUGGGCUCGCGGCCUAUCAGCUUGUUGGUGAGGUAAUGGCUUACCAAGGCGACGACGGGUAGCCGGCCUGAGAGGGUGACCGGCCACACUGGGACUGAGACACGGCCCAGACUCCUACGGGAGGCAGCAGUGGGGAAUAUUGCACAAUGGGCGCAAGCCUGAUGCAGCGACGCCGCGUGAGGGAUGACGGCCUUCGGGUUGUAAACCUCUGUUAGCAUCGAGGAAGCGAAAGUGACGGUAGGUGCAGAGAAAGCGCCGGCUAACUACGUGCCAGCAGCCGCGGUAAUACGUAGGGCGCGAGCGUUGUCCGGAAUUAUUGGGCGUAAAGAGCUUGUAGGCGGUUGGUCGCGUCUGCUGUGAAAGGCCGGGGCUUAACUCCGGUUUUGCAGUGGGUACGGGCUAACUAGAGUGCAGUAGGGGAGACUGGAAUUCCUGGUGUAGCGGUGGAAUGCACAGAUAUCAGGAGGAACACCGAUGGCGAAGGCAGGUCUCUGGGCUGUAACUGACGCUGAGAAGCGAAAGCAUGGGGAGCGAACAGGAUUAGAUACCCUGGUAGUCCAUGCCGUAAACGUUGGGCACUAGGUGUGGGGGACAUUCCACGUUUUCCGCGCCGUAGCUAACGCAUUAAGUGCCCCGCCUGGGGAGUACGGCCGCAAGGCUAAAACUCAAAGGAAUUGACGGGGGCCCGCACAAGCGGCGGAGCAUGCGGAUUAAUUCGAUGCAACGCGAAGAACCUUACCAAGGCUUGACAUGCAUUAGAUCGCGUCAGAGAUGGCGUUUCCCUUCGGGGCUGGUGUACAGGUGGUGCAUGGUUGUCGUCAGCUCGUGUCGUGAGAUGUUGGGUUAAGUCCCGCAACGAGCGCAACCCUCGUUCUAUGUUGCCAGCGGUUCGGCCGGGGACUCAUAGGAGACUGCCGGGGUCAACUCGGAGGAAGGUGGGGAUGACGUCAAAUCAUCAUGCCCCUUAUGUCUUGGGCUUCACGCAUGCUACAAUGGCCGGUACAGAGGGUUGCGAUACUGUGAGGUGGAGCUAAUCCCUUAAAGCCGGUCUCAGUUCGGAUUGGGGUCUGCAACUCGACCCCAUGAAGUCGGAGUCGCUAGUAAUCGCAGAUCAGCAACGCUGCGGUGAAUACGUUCCCGGGCCUUGCACACACCGCCCGUCA